rnacentral:lncRNA from 1 species
AUAGUGUUCUAAGAACGAAGUUUUUAGAGCAGCCUGGGCCUCAGGGAGGAAGGCAGGGGCUCCUUCUCUGAGAGAGUGAGUUGGGGGAACAAGGAGGGAGGGCUUCCCAUGGCCCUGAUUUCAGGAUGUUGACUUGGGCUUGAAGAAUGGAGAUAAAACUUGCGGGAAGUAACAGGCUUAAGCCACUCUCCCCUCAUUUCCUACUUCUGUCUCUUCCUCUAGGUACAGCUGUUGGGAGCUGCCUCUCAUGCCCUCAAUCUCCCUGCCUGUGGUUCAGAGGGAAGAAGAGGGGAAAAAAGGAUGAAGAGAAUUAUCUCAGUGCUGGUGAAGGGCCGAGUUCAAGGACUGCCUUCAAGAGGAGCUGGCCUCAGUUUGCCUGUUACAGAAGCUGA